GUAGUUUUCCUUGCGGGCGUAGAGGGCACGAACUCCCGGCUUUUGCCCGAUAAAUAGCAUCUCUUUUGUACGAGUCAUUCAAAUAAUAGACGCAAUCUAGGCUGGAGUGUAGUGGCGUGAUCAUAGCUCACUGUCAACUUUGAACACUUGGGCUCAAGCUAUCCUCCCUCAGCCUCCCAAGGUGGGAGGUACAGAUCUGGGCAUAGGAACCAAUCAGAAACAAUCGCUUCAGCAAUCAAGACCAUUGUUCAUCAUGGAGGAACCCAUGGAUACCUCUGAGCCUCUAUCUGCAUUACCAUUCACUGGGCAGCAGUCUUUUGAGCCAAGUGGCAAAUUUGGACAGUAUCCAUCGAUGCAGAUGAACCACAUCCAGGCACUGGGGAAGUGGAGGACAUAGAACAGCUCAAUCAGUGUUUGAUCCAACACUUCCAUCUCAUUAAGACAAGUUUGAUUUUUCUUUGCUUUUUAUUUCAUGGAAUACAUGAGAAUCUCUUAACUGUUGGAGUUUCCAAGGAGGCAUACCUCAUGACUUCAGUUAAUGGAAAGAACAAAACUAAAAUGCUGUAUGGCCAAAGCCACAAAGGGAAGGAUCCACAAUUUACAUUCUUGGAGCUAUCAUCUGUACUGUACUGUUGUGAUCUACUGAUUGGCAUUGGCAUAGUAGUAGGGGUCAAGUGACAGAAUCCGUGCCAGCAGUCUCCAGGUUCAGAAGCAAUUCAAGACCCUGAUGAUAGCUCUCCAGCAACCAACACAUGGUGAUUGUGCCAACUUGUUGCUCAGUUAUAAUGCAGGGCCAGUGAUUGGUUUAAGUGAAGACCAUGGUUGAGAUCAUUUGUCUUUGGUCUAAUAGAAUUUGAGUCUAGUAGAAUUUGAGUCUCCAGGGAAAGAGCUACUUGACCAAAUUAAACUAGUAGCAGGUAGAGCAUGAAUGACAGCAUAUUAUACCAUCAAGAUGUUCUUAGAGCAGUGUAUGGAUGGAUCGAUUGUACUGCCAUCAGUUGUGACUGACGUUGUAUUCAAGGAGAAAGAGAAACUUGUUUAGAAAGCACUUUGAAAGUUUUUUGAGUACGGGGGUGCCCUGUAUCACCCCGUUAUGGUUGAACUUUCUCCUUCAAAAUUACCAGACUUGGCAGCAGUGGCAAAUUAUUGGGCUAAAAGACUUAAUCAGACAUAUUCUGGGUUCAAGGCUCCUAAUAUAAUACCUGGUGCAAACAUUAUACUUCCACUCAUUCAGAUGGUUGCAUCCUGCCAGGCAUCCAGUGGGACUGGGAAUAUGGACACUUGAACAUUAAACAUCCUGAAGAAUUUUGGAAUGACAGGUUACAAGUGAACAUAAUCAGUUCUCUAUAUUAAAAAAAAAAAAAGAUUUGGGCAUAGAUUGGGCUCACAUAAUCUUUAGAGAGAUUUUUUCAUUUUUGUGAAAGUACAGAAAUUCUUAACUGCUUAUGAAAUGCUGAUUGUUAAACAGCAUCCACAGCUAUUUUGUGUUGUUUCCCUGACCCCACCCUGAAGAAAAGAAAAA
rnacentral:lncRNA from 1 species